GAUGAACGCUGGCGGCGUGCCUAAUACAUGCAAGUCGAGCGAACAGACGAGGAGCUUGCUCCUCUGGCGUUAGCGGCGGACGUGUGAGUAACACGUGGAUAACCUACCUAUAAGACUGGGAUAACUUCGUGAAACCGGAGCUAAUACCGGAUAAUAUAUUCAACGGCAGGGUUCAAUAGUGAAAGACGGUUUUGCUGUCACUUAUAGAUGGAUCCGCGCCGCAUUAGCUAGUUGGUAAGGUAACGGCUUCCCAAGGCAACGAUGGGUAGCCGACCUGAGAGGGUGAACGGCCACACUGGGACUGAGACGCGGUACAGACACCUACGGAAGGCACAAGUAGGGACUCUUGCGAGAUGGGCGAAAGACUGAAGGAGCAACGCAGCGUGAGUGAUGCAGGUCUUCGGAUGGUAAAACUCUGUUAUUAGGGAAGACCAAAUGUGUAAGUAACUAUGCACGUCUUGACGGUACCUAAACAGAAAGCAACGGCUAACUACGUG
rnacentral:rRNA from 1 species